rnacentral:rRNA from 1 species
AUGUUCUUCCUUCCUCCUGUCGGCAUGCGCGCCGCCACCCCUCUGGCCGUCGCUGGCAUCCCGUUCGAGCCCGUGGAUCCGAGGAAGAUGGAGACGAUGGAUGACGGGAAGGAGCAGCGGCUGCCUCAUGGAAGCAGAUCGUCGACAAAGACCAUCAUCGAGGCUGCUACUGGAGUUCAGAAGAAGGAUUCACAUCAGUGCAAAUCUCUGGUGGGAGUAAGUUCAGAGGGGGGAAAUGCAUCUGGCCCAACCGCCUCGACCUCAACAAGCCCCGUCAAGAUUCGGCACCGUGGGCUGCACCCCCUCUCUUCCUUCGCAACUAGGAGUUGUGGAGGAGCAUUGAUUGGUUGUCUACUCGGAAAGAAAAGAAGAUGA